rnacentral:lncRNA from 1 species
GAAGCUGAAGCUGAAGCACAAGCUGCUGCUGAAGCGGAAGCUAAAGCCGCUACUGAAGCACAGAAUGCUCUGACUCAGGGGGAGUCCUCCACUUUUGCCCCUCUGGUUCUCAGAACCCUUGAGGAGCUUCAGAAAGAGCAGAAGGAAGUCCGAGCCAGAUUGGAUCAACAGGACACAGUCAACGCCAACAUCCAGAACCUGCUGACUCAACUGCUUCAGAGAAUGCCUCCUC